UACGUAGGAGGCAAGCGUUGUCCGGAUUUAUUGGGCGUAAAGAGCUCGUAGGUGGUUCGGUAAGUCGGAUGUGAAAUCUCCAGGCUCAACCUGGAGGGGUCAUUCGAUACUGCCGUGACUAGAGGUCGGUAGGGGAGUGUGGAAUUCCUGGUGGAGCGGUGAAAUGCGUAGAUAUCUGGAGGAACACCGGUGGCGAAGGCGGCAUUCUGGACCGACAUUGACGCUGAGGAGCGAAAGCCAGGGGAGCAAACGGG
rnacentral:rRNA from 1 species